rnacentral:rRNA from 1 species
CACACUGCCCGUCACGCCAUGGGAGUGGGUUGCACCAGAAGUAGUUAGGCUAACCGCAAGGAGGCCGAUUACCACGGUGUGGUUCAUGACUGGGGCG